rnacentral:rRNA from 1 species
UGCGUAGGUGGUCGGGUAAGUCUGAUGUGAAAUCUCCGAGCUCAACUCGGAAAUGGCAUUGGAUACUAUUCGGCUAGAGGGUUUGAGGGGGGACUGGAAUACUUGGUGUAGCAGUGAAAUGCGUAGAUAUCAAGUGGAACACCAGUGGCGAAGGCGAGUCCCUGGAAAACUCCUGACACUGAGGCACGAAAGCUAGGGAGCAAACA